rnacentral:rRNA from 1 species
UCAAAGACUAAGCCAUGCAUGUCUAAGUAUAAACACCUUUAUACACGUGAAACUGCGAAUGGCUCAUUAAAACAGUUAUAGUUCCAUUGAGAACACUUCUUACUUGGAUAACCGUANUAAUUCUAGAGCUAAUACAUGCCUCAACGCCCGACUCACGGAGGGUGGUAUUUAUUGGAUAAAAAACCAUCGUGCCCCGCAAGGAGCACUUUGAGAUGAUUCACAAUAACUAGUCGGAUCGCAUAGUCUAGUGCUGGCGACUCCUCAUUCAAAUUUCUGCCCUAUCAACUUUCGAUGGUAGAGUAUUGGUCUACCAUGGUGUCGACGGGUGACGGGGAAUUAGGGUUCGAUUCCGGAGAGGGAGCCUGAGAAACGGCUACCACAUCCAAGGAAGGCAGCAGGCGCGCAAAUUACCCAAUCCCGAUUCGGGGAGGUAGUGACAAAAAAUAACAAUAGGGGGCCCUUUGGGUCUUCUAAUUGGAAUGAGAACAAUUUAAAUCCCUUAUCGAGGAUCCAUUGGAGGGCAAGUCUGGU